GAUAAUAUAUUAAAGGGCUGCAUGUAUAUUGACUGUACAAAGGUAGCAUAAUCAUUAGUCUUUUAAUUGAAGACUUGUAUGAAAGAUUUGAUGAAAUAUGAACUGUCUCUAAUUUAUGUUUAGAAAUUAAUUUUUUAGUUAAAAAGCUAAAAUAAUAUUAAAAGACGAGAAGACCCUAUAGAGUUUUAUAUUUUAUUUAAUUAAUAUUAAAUAUAUAAUUAAAUAUAUUAAUUAAAUAAAAUAUUGUGUUGGGGUGAUAGAAAAAUUUAAUAAACUUUUUUUAAAAUUAAACAUAAAUAAGUGAUUAGUUGAUCCAUUAAUAAUGAUUAAAAGAAAAAAUUACCUUAGGGAUAACAGCGUAAUAUUUUUUUUUAGUACAUAUAAAAAAAAAAGUUUGCGACCUCGAUGUUGGAUUAAGAUAAAAUUUAAAUGCAAAAGUUUAAAAUUUUGAUCUGUUCGAUCAUUAAAAUCUUACAUGAUCUGAGUUCA
rnacentral:rRNA from 1 species